rnacentral:rRNA from 1 species
AAAUCGUUUAACGAGUAUCAAUUGGAGGCAAGUCUGGUGCCAGCAGCCGCGGUAAUUCCAGCUCCAAUAGCGUGUAUUAAAGUUGCUGCAGUUAAAAAGCUCGUAGUUGGAUCUGGGGCUUGAGGUCGCUGUCUAUCGUUUCGGCGAUGACGGUGGUGCUCAGCUCUGCUUGCCGGUGACUGUUGCGGUGUUCUUAAUUGAGCGCUGUAGCAGCACGGCACGUUUACUUUGAAAAAAUUAGAGUGCUCAAAGCGUGCUUGUCGCUUGAAUAAUGUUGCAUGGAAUAAUGGAAUAGGACCUCGGUUCUAUUUUGUUGGUUUUCGGAGCUUGAGGUAAUGAUUAAGAGGGACGAACGGGGGCAUUCGUAUUGCGGUGUUAGAGGUGAAAUUCUUGGAUCGCCGCAAGACGGACUACUGCGAAAGCAUUUGCCAAGAACGCUUUCAUUAAUUAAGAACGAAAGUCAGAGGUUCGAAGACGAUCAGACACCGUCCUAGUUCUGACCAUAAACGAUGCCGACCAGCGAUCCGUAGUGGUUGCUUUAUGGACCCUACGGGCAGCCUCCGGGAAACCAAAGUAUUUGGGUUCCGGGGGAAGUAUGGUUGCAAAGCUGAAACUUAAAGGAAUUGACGGAAGGGCACACCAGGAGUGGAGCCUGCGGCUUAAUUUGACCUAACACGGGAAAACUCACCCGGUCCGGACACCGUAAGGAUUGACAGACUGAUAGCUCUUUCUUGAUUCGGUGGAUGGUGGUGCAUGGCCGUUCUUAGUUGGUGGAGUGAUUUGUCUGGUUAAUUCCGAUAACGAACGAGACUCUAGCCUGCUAAGUAGUGUGUCUAUUGUGAUAUGGUAUACACUUCUUAGAGGGACAAGUGGCAUUUAGCCACGCGAAAUUGAGCAAUAACAGGUCUGUGAUGCCCUUAGAUGUCCGGGGCCGCACGCGCGCUACACUGGAGAAGUCAGCGUGUGUUAUCCGAGUCCGAAAGGAUUGGGUAAUCCGUUGAACCUUCUUCGUGCUUGGGACUGUGGCUUGGAACUAUUCCACAUGAACGAGGAAUUCCUAGUAAGUGCAAGUCAUUAGCUUGCGUUGAUUACGUCCCUGCCCUUUGUACACACCGCCCGUCGCUACUACCGAUUGAAUGGUUUAGCAAGGUCCUCGGAUCGUGGCCGUAGGGGCACGCAAGUGUUUCUGCGGUUUGCGAGAAGACGACCAAACUUGAUCAUUUAGA